rnacentral:misc_RNA from 1 species
UAAAACGCUCAUGAUAUCCUUCCAUCCCUGUCCGCUCGUUUCAAAGGUUUCACCGAAACUAUAUUGUUAUGACAUGAUUUAUGUCUGGGGACAUGGUUGGGAAUACAGAUUUCACCGAGAAGGAACACCAUGCUGGUUGACGCCGAUUCGAAAUAGUGUUGGAUACUGUAGCCAAGGAAUAUGCAUUGCGAACAACAGUGCUGGAGCGCCAAGCUGCAGCGGCCAAGGAUACAUCACCACAUGCAAUUCCACAACUUGCGAUGGAAUGCCAUGUAUUAAUAUCUUUACCAAGCCAAGUAGUGCUAUUGCCGGGAUUUGCAAGAAUCGGAUGACUUAUCAAGAACAAAGACUAGCCCAUCAUCAUACAUACCUAAAAUGCAAAGAAAAAGAAAAUUAUGGUUGACUGUUUGUAAUCCGGUAUUAUUCAGAGAGACACUGGGAGAAAUAAUUUGGCGGCUCCUGUGAAGCGAAGCUUCAAUUAAAUAAUCCCCCAACCCAACGUACCCUAGGAGUACGAGGGAAACCAGCGAAACGUUCUAUUCAAUUGUCACCAUUACUGCAAAGUAGGUGACACAUGGUACCACGGCUAUUACAGCAGUAAUCUGACAAGUUCUUGCUAUCUGGCAAAGUCGACACCAACCCAGGACCUCGGAUGGUGUUGUGAAGGAAGAUGCAUCGAAAAGGCGCAUUGCCUCGCGUCAUGAAUGUUGCUCUUGCAAGAUAUUACUUAACGUCAGCUACUGUAAUCGCACGCAGCGCCAUGGAUAAGGUGUGUUCAAUGAAUAAAAUCAAUGGGAUAACGUUA